CCAGACUCCUACGGGAGGCAGCAGUGGGGAAUAUUGGACAAUGGGGGGAACCCUGAUCCAGCGACGCCGCGUGAGUGAAGAAGUAUUUCGGUAUGUAAAGCUCUAUCAGCAGGGAAGAAAGAAAUGACGGUACCUGACUAAGAAGCCCCGGCUAACUACGUGCCAGCAGCCGCGGUAAUACGUAGGGGGCAAGCGUUAUCCGGAUUUAUUGGGUUUAAAGGGUGCGCAGGCGGCCUGUUAAGUCAGCGGUAAAAGCCGGGGGCCAACCCCCGGCGAGCCGUUGAAACUGGCGGGCUGGAGUUGGAGAGAAGUACGCGGAAUGCGCGGUGUAGCGGUGAAAUGCUUAGAUAUCACGCAGAACUCCGAUUGCGAAGGCAGCAUACCGGCGCCCAACUGACGCUGAAGCACGAAAGCGUGGGUAUCGAACAGGAUUAGAUACCCGCGUA
rnacentral:rRNA from 1 species